CAGGAAACAGGAGUCCAAUCCUUGCCUCCAUGGAGAAGACACAUUUUCUCAGCCUUGAGUGUCUUUGUUACAGGCUGCUGCCAACUCCUGUCCUUUUGCUACACAAGACAAACAGGAGAAUCACUUCGAAGGCUGGAGGACCUGAGAUCUCUCAGCUUCUAGUACAGAUGGACAUGGACUCCUACAAAAUCCUCCCUGCAGAACUCCCUGCCCCCAAAAUUGUCCCUUUCAAUCCAGUCUUCUCACUGUGGCCAGAGGAUUAUUUCCAAAUUUUUGAAAUCUAAUCAUGCCGUUUACUUUCUGCUUAAAAACUCUUACCAAAAAAUAUAUAUUGAAAUAAUAAAUGAUGCAGACCUUGCUUCUUCUGAUCCAGGGACAGAAGAAUGUUGGGGUGAUCAUCUAGUAGUCUUCCUCUGGUUGAGGCCCAAGGAUUAGGAGUCAGGCAAAAUAAACACCAGAUCUUAGCUGAUGGAAGAUUGGUGAAAUUGUAUGAUGUACAGAGUAGGAAUUGGACACUAUGCUAUGUGGAAUAAAUGCAACCAUUCAGAGGAAGCCCAGGACAUCUAAGCCAACUGUGAGGCAGGUUCAGUCAGCUGGGCAAAUAACAGCAACUUCGGCAAGACCAUGUUCCAAUGGCCCAUCAAGGGAUGAGGCUCAGAGGAAGCCUGAAUUA
rnacentral:lncRNA from 1 species